GUUUGAAAUAAAGAAUUAUUGGUUACGGUGUCGUUUCAACCACUUCUGCAUACUACAACAUCUGUAAUAACACUCUUUACGGCGUCGUUUUCUGGCCACGGCGUAUGUGAAGCACAUUUGCCGAUUUGAAACACUUAAAACUCCAACAAUGUUUCCGUCGCCGAUGUCGCCGCCUCCAGUGAAGUCGCCGGCGGUUCAGACGCAAUAAAACCAGUCUCUAGCUUCUCACUUCCAUAUAUAUCCGUUGAUAGAGAAAUUAUCGAAAGAAAUCGAAACUGGAGGUUCCGAUUCCCUGGUGAGUGAAUUGAAAAUUCGUUUUAAGAAUUGUGAGCAGAUGUUGAAUUCGAUUUCGAGAUCCAUUGGAUCAAAAGCUAUGACUGUUGAUGGACAGAAACGAAAGCUGGAAGAAUCCGAAUAUUUGCUCGAACAAAGAAGACUCUUCUACAAUAAGAAUAUUGUCUCACACCCCAAGUCAAAGAAGCCAGAAGAAGAAAUAAAUUGACAAUGGUUGUGAUUUUCUUUUAGUUUCAAUGUCUCACACCAUUUCCAGAGCUACAAACAUAUUUCUUCCUUGGUUCCGUUUUCGAGUAGGUUGUAAGGAAAUCAUUGUGAAUCCCAUGCCUAUUAGUUUGUUUUGAAAUCUAGACUGUAAAUGGAAUCUUGACCCUAAACAUAAACUUCUUGUUAAGCUU